AUGACUCUUUGUUCCAGACUCCCAGGCCUGCACCGCGUACGACGUCGUCAUCAACCAGGAAUUCUUCCAGAAGUGCCAGACUGGAAGGUGCUGAAGAACAGGAAGUUUUUGGGUUCUCUCGUCGAUCAGAACAUCCGGACGAAGAGUCGACCGGUGAUCCAGGAGCUGCAGCCAGAGUUCAGCUCCACUGCUGCAGCUAAAAGGUAACCCUCCUCCUGACUCCAGAACACAGCGGUGCAGGGAUGUCAAAUGGGAGUUUUCCGUAUUGGAUUAUCAUUGCAGAAAAUACUCUCACAGAUUUUCAGUUCUUCUGUUAAUGAAGAGCAUUAGAGCCACACAUUUGUUUUUAAAACAUAAUUUGUGUGUAUGAGGCUCACGAGCAGAGAAAGUAGGGGAUUACUUUAGUUCAAUCAGGAGAGACGGUUUUGAUGU